GACGAACGCUGGCGGCGUGCUUAACACAUGCAAGUCGAACGGAAAGGCGCGGCGUUUGUGGGUUGCUCGAUUGGCGAACGGGUGAGUAACACGUGAGUAACCUGCCCUUGACUUUGGGAUAACUUCAGGAAACUGGGUCUAAUAUCGGAUAUGAGCUCUUGCUCCAUGGGGUUGAUUGGUGAGAGUCGGCGGUUGUGGCUGGAAUAGCGGCUUACGGGCUUGUUUGUCGGGUAGGUACUUACCAGGGCUUCGAAGGGUAGCCGGCAUGAGAGGGUGACCGGCCACAUUGGGACUGAGGUACGGCGCAGACGCCUACGGGAGGCAGCAGUCGGGAGUAUUGCGCAGUGGGCGGAAGCCUGAUGCAGCAACGCCGCGUGCGGGAUGACGGCUUUUGGGUUGUAAACCGCUUUCGAAUGUGACGAAGCGUGCGUGACGGUACUGGGUCAAGAAGCACCGGCUAACUACGUG
rnacentral:rRNA from 1 species